rnacentral:rRNA from 1 species
UACGUAGGCAGCGAGCGUUGUUCGGAGUUACUGGGCGUAAAGGGUGUGUAGGUGGUUGUUUAAGUUUGGUGUGAAAUCUCCCGGCUCAACUGGGAGGGUGCGCCGAAUACUGAAUGACUUGGAGUGCGGGAGAGGAAAGUGGAAUUCCUGGUGUAGCGGUGAAAUGCGUAGAUAUCAGGAGGAACACCGGUGGUGUAGACGGCUUUCUGGACCGUAACUGACGCUGAGACACGAAAGCGUGGGUAGCAAACAGG